rnacentral:rRNA from 1 species
GGCUAAUUCCGUGCCAGCAGCCGCGGUAAUACGGAAGGUCCGGGCGUUAUCCGGAUUUAUUGGGUUUAAAGGGAGCGUAGGCUGGAGAUUAAGUGUGUUGUGAAAUGUAGACGCUCAACGUCUGACUUGCAGCGCAUACUGGUUUCCUUGAGUACGCACAACGUUGGCGGAAUUCGUCGUGUAGCGGUGAAAUGCUUAGAUAUGACGAAGAACUCCGAUUGCGAAGGCAGCUGACGGGAGCGCAACUGACGCUUAAGCUCGAAGGUGCGGGUAUCAAACAGGAUUAGAUACCCUGGUAGUCCGCACAGUAAACGAUGGAUGCCCGCUGUUGGUACCUGGUAUCAGCGGCUAAGCGAAAGCAUUAAGCAUCCCACCUGGGGAGUACGCCGGCAACGGUGAAACUCAAAGGAAUUGACGGGGGCCCGCACAAGCGGAGGAACAUGUGGUUUAAUUCGAUGAUACGCGAGGAACCUUACCCGGGCUUGAAUUGCAGAGGAAGGAUUUAGAGAUAAUGACGCCCUUCGGGGUCUCUGUGAAGGUGCUGCAUGGUUGUCGUCAGCUCGUGCCGUGAGGUGUCGGCUUAAGUGCCAUAACGAGCGCAACCCCUCUCUUCAGUUGCCAUCAGGUAAUGCUGGGCACUCUGGAGACACUGCCACCGUAAGGUGUGAGGAAGGUGGGGAUGACGUCAAAUCAGCACGGCCCUUACGUCCGGGGCUACACACGUGUUACAAUGGCCGGUACAGAGGGACGGUGUAAUGCAAAUUGCAUCAAAUCUUGAAAGCCGGUCCCAGUUCGGACUGGGGUCUGCAACCCGACCCCACGAAGCUGGAUUCGCUAGUAAUCGCGCAUCAGCCAUGGCGCGGUGAAUACGUUCCCGGGCCUUGUACACACCGCCCGUCAAGCCAUGAAAGCCGGGGGUGCCUGAAGUCCGUGACCGCAAGGAUCGGCCUAGGGCAAAACUGGUGAUUGGGGCUAAGUCGUAACAAGGUAGCCGUACCGGAAGGUGCGGCUG